rnacentral:rRNA from 1 species
AUGGCCUCCUCAAGGUCUCUCAGCAGUCGCAUCGGCGCAAUGCUGGCCGGCGCGUUGCUCCUGCUGUUGUCUACGGCCUCCGCCGUGGCUCAGCUGGACGUGGGCUUCUACAGCAAGACGUGCCCGCACGUGGAGGAGAUCGUCCGGCAGGAGAUGCUCGGGAUCCUCAAGGAGGCGCCCACGCUCGCCGGACCCUUCCUCCGCCUCCACUUCCACGACUGCUUCGUCCGGGGAUGCGACGCCUCCGUGCUGAUCGACUCCACCGACGUCGCCAAUAGCCCAGCAGAGAAGGACGCGCCGCCCAACAAGAGCCUCCGCGGCUUCGGCGCCGUGCAGCGCGUCAAGGACAGGCUCCAGUCCGCCUGCCCUAACACGGUGUCCUGCGCCGACGUGCUCGCCCUCAUGGCCCGCGACGCCGUCGUGCUCGCAGGAGGCCCCACGUGGCCCGUCGCGCUCGGCCGGAGGGACGGCCGCGUGUCCAUCGCUAGCGAGACGAACCAGCUUCCCCCACCCACCUCCAACUUCACCCGCCUCUCCAAGAUGUUCGCCGCCAAGGGCCUCGACGCCAAGGAUAUCGUCGUGCUCUCCGGCGGCCACACGCUCGGCACCGCGCGCUGCGUCUCCUUCACGGACCGGCUGUACAACUUCUCCGGCGCCAAUAACCCCGCCGACGUCGACCCAGCACUGGACGGCGCAUACGUGGCCAGGCUGAGGUCCCAGUGCCGGAGCCUCGCCGACAACACCACGCUCGCGGAGAUGGACCCCGGCAGCUUCCUCACCUUCGACGCCGGCUACUACCGCCUCGUGGCAAAGCGCAGAGGAAUCCUACACUCCGACUCCGCGCUCCUGGAACACCCGACCACCAGGGCAUACGUCGGGCGCCAGGCCACCGGCCUCUUCGCCGCCGAGUUCUUCCGCGACUUCGCCGAGUCCAUGGUCAAGAUGGGCAACAUCGGCGUGCUCACCGGAGAACAGGGCGAGAUCAGGAACAAGUGCUACGCCGUCAACAAAUAA